ACCAGAGCCAUAUCUCCCUAAAGUUCUCGCCUGGUUUUCCCACUGAAGCUAAGCAGGGUUGAGCCUGGCCAGACCCUGGAUGGGAGACCUCCUGUGGAAAACUAAGGUUGCUGCUGGAA
rnacentral:rRNA from 1 species